CCUGAGUGUCGAACCCGUCUAGUAACUUGAUGAUGAAAGAAUGAGCAUUGGCAACUCUUGCAGCUUCCUCAACUUCAACCAUAUCAGCAUCUGGCCUGCCCAGAAGUAUAUUCUCUUUGAUUGAUGUUGCAAACAAAGCUGGCUCUUGGCUCACAAGCCCUAUUUGUUGCCUCAGCCAUUUGAGCUUCAUUGUCUUUAUCUCGUGCCCAUCUAGCAGCACUUGGCCUGUAGAACAGAAUUUCAAAAGAAACCACUUUCCCAAAUCAGCAUUUUUACUGCACUUACUUGGCUAAAAGAACGUAGAAACUAUAGAAAAACAGUCGGUUAGAUGCCACACGUUAUUUUGUGGAACACAUGGUGCGCACUUUGCUGAAAGGAGAAAACAACUCCUUACCAGAUUCGGGAUCGUAGAACCUCUCGAUUA
rnacentral:lncRNA from 1 species